AACCGGACGAUGUCGACUUGGAGGUUGUGCCCUUGAGGCGUGGCUUCCGGAGCUAACGCGUUAAGUCGACCGCCUGGGGAGUACGGCCGCAAGGUUAAAACUCAAAUGAAUUGACGGGGGCCCGCACAAGCGGUGGAGCAUGUGGUUUAAUUCGAUGCAACGCGAAGAACCUUACCUGGUCUUGACAUCCACAGAACUUUCCAGAGAUGGAUUGGUGCCUUCGGGAACUGUGAGACAGGUGCUGCAUGGCUGUCGUCAGCUCGUGUUGUGAAAUGUUGGGUUAAGUCCCGCAACGAGCGCAACCCUUAUCCUUUGUUGCCAGCGGUCCGGCCGGGAACUCAAAGGAGACUGCCAGUGAUAAACUGGAGGAAGGUGGGGAUGACGUCAAGUCAUCAUGGCCCUUACGACCAGGGCUACACACGUGCUACAAUGGCGCAUACAAAGAGAAGCGACCUCGCGAGAGCAAGCGGACCUCAUAAAGUGCGUCGUAGUCCGGAUUGGAGUCUGCAACUCGACUCCAUGAAGUCGGAAUCGCUAGUAAUCGUGGAUCAGAAUGCCACGGUGAAUACGUUCCCGGGCCUUGUACACACCGCCCGUCACACCAUGGGAGUGAGUUGCAAAAGAAGUAGGUAGCUUAACCUUCGGGAGGGCGCUUACCACUUUGUGAUUCAUGACUGGGGUGAAGUCUACAAGGGGGAAACCAUUGGUUUUGGGAG
rnacentral:rRNA from 1 species